UAACCUGCCCUUGGGUCCGGCAUAACCCCGGGAAACUGGGGAUAAUUCCGGAUAACGCAUAUAUGCUGGAAUGCUUUAUGCGUCAAAUGGAUUCGUCUGCCCAAGGAUGGGUCUGCGGCCUAUCAGGUAGUAGUGGGUGUAAUGUACCUACUAGCCGACGACGGGUACGGGUUGUGAGAGCAAGAGCCCGGAGAUGGAUUCUGAGACAUGAAUCCAGGCCCUACGGGGCGCAGCAGGCGCGAAAACUUUACAAUGCGGGAAACCGUGAUAAGGGGACACCGAGUGCCAGCAUCAUAUGCUGGCUGUCCGGGUGUGUAAAAUACACCCGUUAGCAAGGGCCGGGCAAGACCGGUGCCAGCCGCCGCGGUAACACCGGCGGCCCGAGUGGUGAUCGUGAUUAUUGGGUCUAAAGGGUCCGUAGCCGGUUUGGUCAGUCCUCCGGGAAAUCUGACGGCUUAACCGUUAGGCUUUCGGAGGAUACUGCCAGGCUUGGAACCGGGAGAGGUAAGAGGUACUACAGGGGUAGGAGUGAAAUCUUGUAAUCCCUGUGGGACCACCUGUGGCGAAGGCGUCUUACCAGA
rnacentral:rRNA from 1 species